rnacentral:rRNA from 1 species
AAUGAACGCUGGCGGCGCGCCUAAUACAUGCAAGUCGAGCGAGAAGACGUAGCAAUACGUUUGUAAAGCGGCGAACGGGUGAGGAAUACAUGGGUAACCUACCCUAGAGUGGGGAAUAACUAGCCGAAAGGUUAGCUAAUACCGCGUACGCUCCUUGGACUUCGGUUCAGGGAGGAAAGCGAUGCCGAGGGUAUCGCGCUCUUGGAUGGGCUCAUGUCCUAUCAGCNGUUUGGUGAGGUAACGGCUCACCAAGGCUUCGACGGGUAGCUGGUCUGAGAGGACGAUCAGCCACACUGGCACUGCGACACGGGCCAGACUCCUACGGGAGGCAGCAGUAAGGAAUAUUGC